AAAAAUGGACUUCCAAUUAAUUAUUUCUUGAUGAACCAUAACGGACAAGCUGAAGUAAGAAACAUAAUGAACGAAUCGAAAUGAAAUAUGUAAAUGACAGAUCUGAUACGAUUGCGGCCGAAACAGAAUCCAUAUCAUUUUGUUUGUUUUGUUUUUGCUACGAUACUAUCAUUCCUUGCGGAUUCGACUGGGAUAAUCGCGUCGCUCAAAUGUUUGUUCUAUUUCUAGUCGACUGCAGGUAAAGAUUCCGUGCUGUUUUCUUUGGAUUAUUGCGCUGGCUGGUAGUCCCGCUCUCACGCUGACUCUAUCUGCUGGCAACAUGGUGUUCUUUGACCCAAUUCCCAGAAGUACUUUACUUUUUCUCUCCGAGCACACCGCGUGUGAUUUGCGGCGAUUGGAGCACGGGCUUGGCUUCCCCGAACUCGAUGAGGCAUGCUGAUAAGCAAUACACAAGAAUCUGUUUGCAUUUCUAUCCGCCCAUCAAAAUAUUAAAGUAUCUCUUAGAAAUAAAUAAACAUCAUUUA